rnacentral:rRNA from 1 species
AUGCCUAGGAAAUUGCCCUGAUGUGGGGGAUAACCAUUGGAAACGAUGGCUAAUACCGCAUAAUGCCUACGGGCCAAAGAGGGGGACCUUCGGGCCUCUCGCGUCAGGAUAUGCCUAGGUGGGAUUAGCUAGUUGGUGAGGUAAUGGCUCACCAAGGCGACGAUCCCUAGCUGGUCUGAGAGGAUGAUCAGCCACACUGGAACUGAGACACGGUCCAGACUCCUACGGGAGGCAGCAGUGGGGAAUAUUGCACAAUGGGCGCAAGCCUGAUGCAGCCAUGCCGCGUGUGUGAAGAAGGCCUUCGGGUUGUAAAGCACUUUCAGUCGUGAGGAAGGUAGUGUAGUUAAUAGCUGCAUUAUUUGACGUUAGCGACAGAAGAAGCACCGGCUAACUCCGUGCCAGCAGCCGCGGUAAUACGGAGGGUGCGAGCGUUAAUCGGAAUUACUGGGCGUAAAGCGCAUGCAGGUGGUUUGUUAAGUCAGAUGUGAAAGCCCGGGGCUCAACCUCGGAAUAGCAUUUGAAACUGGCAGACUAGAGUACUGUAGAGGGGGGUAGAAUUUCAGGUGUAGCGGUGAAAUGCGUAGAGAUCUGAAGGAAUACCGGUGGCGAAGGCGGCCCCCUGGACAGAUACUGACACUCAGAUGCGAAAGCGUGGGGAGCAAACAGGAUUAGAUACCCUGGUAGUCCACGCCGUAAACGAUGUCUACUUGGAGGUUGUGGCCUUGAGCCGUGGCUUUCGGAGCUAACGCGUUAAGUAGACCGCCUGGGGAGUACGGUCGCAAGAUUAAAACUCAAAUGAAU